AGCGAACGCUGGCGGCAUGCUUAACACAUGCAAGUCGCACGGGCAGUAGCAAUAUUGUCAGUGGCGGACAGGUGAGUAACGCGUAGGAAUCUAUCCUUGGAUGGGGGACAACCGUGGGAAACUACGGCUAAUACCGCAUGAUGCCUGAGGGCCAAAGCUCGUGAGAGCGUCUGGGGAGGAGCCUGCGUCUGAUUAGGUAGUUGGUGGGGUAAAGGCCUACCAAGCCUUCGAUCAGUAGCUGGUCUGAGAGGAUGAUCAGCCACAUUGGGACUGAGACACGGCCCAAACUCCUACGGGAGGCAGCAGUGGGGAAUAUUGGACAAUGGGGGCAACCCUGAUCCAGCAAUGCCGCGUGGGUGAAGAAGGUUUUCGGAUUGUAAAGCCCUUUUGGCGGGACGAUGAUGACGGUACCCGCAGAAUAAGCUCC
rnacentral:rRNA from 1 species